rnacentral:misc_RNA from 1 species
GAUGAAGAGCGCAGCGAAAUGCGAUACUUGGUGUGAAUUGCAGAAUCCCGUGAACCAUCGAGUCUUUGAACGCAAGUUGCGCCCGAAGCCACUAGGCCGAGGGCACGCCUGCCUGGGCGUCACACGUCGUUGCCCCCCCCCCAUCUACUCCUUCGGGAUUGCGGGGGGCGGAUGAUGGCCUCCCGUGCGCCUAGCCGCGCGGUUGGCAUAAAUACCAAGUCCUCGGCGACGCACGCCACGACAAUCGGUGGUUGCGAAACCUCGGUUGCCCGUCGUGUGCGUUCGUCGCGCAUCGAGGGCUCGAAAAAAUGCUCGGCUCCGGCUCGGCUUUCAACGCGACCCCAGGUCAGGCGGGGUUACCCGCUGAAUUUAAGCAUAUCAAUAAGCGGAGGA